UACAGAGGUCUCAAGCGUUGUUCGGAUUCAUUGGGCGUAAAGGGUGCGUAGGUGGCGGGGUAAGUCGGGUGUGAAAUUUCAGAGCUUAACUCUGAAACUGCAUUCGAUACUGCCUUGCUUGAGGACUGGAGAGGAGACUGGAAUUUACGGUGUAGCAGUGAAAUGCGUAGAUAUCGUAAGGAAGACCAGUGGCGAAGGCGGGUCUCUGGACAGUUCCUGACACUGAGGCACGAAGGCCAGGGGAGCAAACGGG
rnacentral:rRNA from 1 species